UGUUCUUGUGACUCAGAGGUACAUCAUAUCCCUUAGGAGUUAAGUGUCUAAUUACUUUACAAGUUGAGGAUUUUAAUUAAGGUACAGUUCUCUUACAGGCAUACUGGCUUUUGGCUUGUUUUGUUUUUGUUAGUGUUCAAAUAAGACUCACAUUUACUUCAAGAUUUAUUUUUGUGUAUAUUCAUGUCCAGUCUAUAUUCACAUGUUGAAUGCAGGUACCUGUGAAAGUAAGUCAUCAGAUGGAAGCCCUUGAAGCUGGAGUUAUAGUAGUUGUGAUUCACCCAGUGUGGGUGUCAGGAACUGAAGUUGAGUCUUCUAUAAGAUCCUUGUGUGUUUUCCUGUGCUGAACUAACCCUCUAGCCCCCAAACUUGUAUUCUUGUAUUUGAAUGUUCAUAUUUAUAUGUGAAGGCUUGAUGUGGUUCUGAUUAUUAUCACUGUAUCAUUAUAUGAGUGUCUUGGGAAUGUUGAAUAGUUGAUUUUUCUAAGUAAGCAUUAGGGUGCACCUGCCAAUCAUAAUACAAACUGAGUUCAGGAAGUAACUUACUAUAUUGGAAAACUUUGCGCCAGCUUUCCUUAAUAUUUUAUGCUAUGUCCCAGCUUACUAAUUGAAUUGUUUUUGUUUCACCUGUUUAUCCAAUGUGUUUCAAGUAAAGAAAAGAGCACGAUAAUCAUUGAACAGGAAGAAAACUUGGGUAACAAAGCAGUCAGUAAAGAAAGAUUGAAGAGUGGCUAUCUGAACUGUCCAUGAUACAUUGAAAGGUUCUGAGCUAAUACAUUGAGUACUAAAUUUGGAGUGAGCAUUUUUUUGUGUGUGUGUGUGUGAGCAUUUGAGUGUGCAUGUGUGUGCAUGUGUUGGAGGUCAGAUAUCAAAGUAGGAUAUCUCCUUUAGUCAUCACUGGAUUGGCUUUACUGAACCUGGACCUCAUUGACUGAGAUGGGCUGGGUGGUCAAGAAGAUCCACCCAUCUCCACAGUGUUGUGAUUGCAGGUCCAGGUCACCACAGCUUAUUUAUAAAGGAAGCUCUACACCAACUGAGCAUCGUUCCUAAUGCCUCAGAUUGCCUACGAUCAAGCACAUAAUUUAACUAUGGCUGGAAGCCUCUUCCUUUCCCCAAAGACAGCUUGUUCCAAUGCACAGAGGCCACACAGAAAGCACUGCCUCGGCUCCUUCAUCUUUUUUCCUCCAAUUUAUUUCUCUUUCAGAAGUUUCUGAGAAGGAUUCCUUUUCAGUGUGGAUAUAAUGCAAUCAGUUCACUAAAGAGCUCUGCCCACCAUGCUUGUGGCCCAUCCAACAUCAAUUUUAAUAGCUCCAAAUUUAAUAUCCUAUGAUAAACUUCAAUGUUUUCUAAGCCUCGAGGAAUUGUGAAUAGCUGUUGUUGUCCCAGUAACUGUCAAUUAUUCAGGAAUAGAGAAAGAAAAAGCCAGAUCCAGCUGGACGUGGACAUCUUAUAAUCUCACCUCCUUGGUUGACUCAUGUAUGAUUUAAAAUUGACUCAAGUUUAAUCAGACUGCAUAAUGUCUUCAGGGCUUCAGUCUAUAUUCUACUCUUGGUCUCUUGUAUGCUUUCUUUCCUCAUUGUUCUAUAAUAUCUAGUGACAUUAGUUUUCCUUCCAUUCCCUCAGACUCAGUCCAAUUGUGCUAAAAUGAUCAUAGUGAUGAGUCUUGCUUC
rnacentral:lncRNA from 1 species